CUGGGUUUGACAUGCACAGGACGACUGCAGAGAUGUGGAUUCCCUUGUGGCCUGUGUGCAGGUGGUGCAUGGCUGUCGUCAGCUCGUGUCGUGAGAUGUUGGGUUAAGUCCCGCAACGAGCGCAACCCUUGUCUCAUGUUGCCAGCGCGUUAUGGCGGGGACUCGUGAGAGACUGCCGGGGUCAACUCGGAGGAAGGUGGGGAUGACGUCAAGUCAUCAUGCCCCUUAUGUCCAGGGCUUCACACAUGCUACAAUGGCCGGUACAAAGGGCUGCGAUGCCGUGAGGUGGAGCGAAUCCUUUCAAAGCCGGUCUCAGUUCGGAUCGGGGUCUGCAACUCGACCCCGUGAAGUCGGAGUCGCUAGUAAUCGCAGAUCAGCAACGCUGCGGUGAAUACGUUCCC
rnacentral:rRNA from 1 species